rnacentral:rRNA from 1 species
GGAGGAAAAGAAACUAACAAGGAUUCCCCUAGUAACUGCGAGUGAAGCGGGAAAAGCUCAAAUUUAAAAUCUGGCAGCUUUCAGUUGUCCGAGUUGUAGUCUAGAGAAGCGUUUUCCGCGUUGGACCGUGUACAAGUCUCUUGGAACAGAGCGUCGUAGAGGGUGAGAAUCCCGUCUUUGACACGGACUACCAAUGCUAUGUGAUGCGCUCUCAAAGAGUCGAGUUGUUUGGGAAUGCAGCUCAAAAUGGGUGGUAAAUUCCAUCUAAAGCUAAAUAUUGGCGAGAGACCGAUAGCGAACAAGUACCGUGAGGGAAAGAUGAAAAGCACUUUGGAAAGAGAGUUAAACAGUACGUGAAAUUGCUGAAAGGGAAACGCUUGAAGUCAGUCGCGUUAGUUAGAACUCAGCCAGGCUUGCCUGGUGCAUUUUCUAAUUUAACGGGCCAGCAUCAAUUUUGGCUGCGGGAUAAAGGUCAGAGAAAUGUGGCAGCUUCGGCUGUGUUAUAGUCUCUGGCUGCAUACCGUGACCGGGAUUGAGGAUCUCAGCACGCAUUUGUUGUUGCUUAGGAUGCUGGCGUAAUGGCUUUAAACGACCCGUCUUGAAACACGGACCAAGGAGUCUAACAAACCUGCGAGUAUUUGGGUGAUUAAACCCGAGUGCGCAAUGAAAGUGAAAGUUGGGAUCCCUGUCGUGGGGAGCACCGACGCCCGGACCAGACCUUUUGCGACGGCUCUGCGGUAGAGCAUGUUUGUUGGGACCCGAAAGAUGGUGAACUAUGCCUGAAUAGGGUGAAGCCAGAGGAAACUCUGGUGGAGGCUCGUAGCGAUUCUGACGUGCAAAUCGAUCGUCAAAUUUGGGUAUAGGGGCGAAAGA